AGGGUGGGUGCAGCCCAAGAUCACUGGAGUUCCUGGGAAGCGGGGAGUCUGUGGUUCUCUAAUGGCUGAUUUUUCUGGGGAAAAGGUGGUGUUGACUGUCCCAGCUUGGAUGAGAGGAUUUGCGCAUUGCAUCUGAAACCAAGAAAGACUAGGAUCGUCUUUGGAAUGUUUGGGAUGGUUGAUUCCGCUAAGGACUAUUCAUAAGGCACAUUUACCAGCUCUCCCUUAGGUCUUUUCAUGAACAUGUUUUUGAACAAGCACACAGAACAGGCUGCCCCUGCUGCUAGAAGGGCUUCUUGUGGGCCCCCUUCUAACCCCCGGGUCGCUGAGGUUUAUUACAUGAAAUCCUCAAUGGGUGGGCACUGCAGCACAGAGCAACCUGGAGUGUGUGGGGUGGGUACCCCAGUCAACACACACAGGACUCUUGCAAACAGGCUCCU
rnacentral:lncRNA from 10 species